GACGAUGAUAAGCAACCACAGACACAUC
rnacentral:sRNA from 1 species